GACGAACGCUGGCGGCGUGGAUUAGGCAUGCAAGUCGAACGGUAUCAUCCUUUCGGGGGUGAGAGAGUGGCGAACUGGUGAGUAACACGUAGGUUAUCUACCCUCAAGACGGGGACAACCCAGGGAAACUUGGGCUAAUACCGGAUGUGAGCAACUUUUAGUUGUUUGAAAGGUGGCGUAAGCUGUCGCUUGGGGAUGAGCCUGCGUCCUAUUAGUUAGUUGGUGAGGUAACGGCUCACCUAGGCAAUGAUAGGUAGGCGGCCUUAACGGGUGGUCGCCCACACUGGGAUUGAGAUACGGCCCAGACUCCUACGGGAGGCAGCAGUCGAGAAUAGUCUACAAUGGUCGGAAGACUGAUAGUGCGACGCCGCGUGAACGAUGAAUCCCUUCAGGGUGUAAAGUUCUUUUAUAUGUGAGCAGUGCUUCUUAUAUUAACAGUAUGGGGAGAGAGAUAUUAGCAUAUGAAUAAGCAACGGCUAACUCCGUG
rnacentral:rRNA from 1 species